GACUCUGUAGUGAAGUUCAUGUUGAGUUGCAAGCUCAUCGAUAUGUGUUUGGUGCACAUCAGAGUUU
rnacentral:tRNA from 1 species